ACUGCUCAUCUUUCAUCCUUCUUGUAUGCUGGAGCUUGCUUUCUGUAUUUAUUUAGUAUUUCAUCAACAAAGAUUUAAACCCAGGGAUCCAGCAGCAGCUUUUCUCCAGACUGCAUCUCAAGUGAAUAUUACUAAAAGUAACAUGUAAACCCUAAAAUAAAUUUCAAAUAAGAAGGCAUUUCAUCUUCUCUGUUUUCAUAACCGUAUUCUCUGUUUUAAGUCCAAUCCGAGAGAGAUUUCUUUUAACUAAAAGGAUUUGCAUAUGGAUAGUGUUAUUUUGCAGUACAGUGAUGGCUUUCAGUCACCUCAGUGGAAGUUCCAGGACUUUUUUUUGCCUUAAUCAGUCUGUACUGCAUUUUAGAUGAUCGGGACAACAGAAAGAUAGGAUUUCUUUUCUGGUUCUAUUAGUAGAUAAGGACUAGAAGGGACUUACUUGUUCUUGCAUAAUGUUCAUCACAGGAUAUUACUAAGUUCAAAGACAACCUCCAAGCAAAAAUGCAACAUUUCCAAUGAUUCACAGUCUUUCUGUGUAUGGAAAAAUAAACAAAUCAAACUUCUUCAGACAGGACGCUAUUUGGAUAUGUUUAGCUCUCAGUGGUAUGAUAUUGUGGUUUAUUUUGCAUGUGUGUGUUUUUUCUCAGUAAAACUGUGAUCAUCAACUUAAGAUACUUUCAUUGCUGUACUCAAAGUGCUGAGUGCAGCAUCCUGCUUUUACAACUAAUGUCUGUUUCCAAAAGAAGUGAAAUUUGGAAUAAGCAAAGCUCAUGCUUUGUUGUUCAAUUGACCAUUUUUUAUACCCAACUUGGAAACUAUUAUAUUUCCCUUCUCUGAAUAUGUAAUCAGCAAACUAAUUAUGACUGACAUAUGAAAAAAAUGGUGAUUAAGAGGGAGGAAGAGGAGACAGCAGAGCAGGUUCUAGUAUCUGACUGUCGAAAGUACAAAAGCCCAAAACAAAGAAAAAAAGAAGAGCAUUUAUGAAAUUGUGACAUGUUCAGAAAUUCCACUUUUGUUUUUUUGUAGGCUCCCAACACCUCUGUGCAGGUGAAAUUGUGUAAGUAGUCUUAGGAUAAGCCAGUAGAGACAAGACACUAUUUCCAAUAAAAACUCCAUAAAAAUUUAUUUGUGCAGUUUUUAAGAAAAACUGAGGCAGUGAUGGGGUGAAUGACCACUUAUAAUAAUUAUUUUAAUUUAUUGUAAACCAGGUAUAUCUCCACCGGUGUCUUCAGUUAACUUUCCAGUGUUGUCUUUAAGCCACUUAAAAUAAUUUUGCCAUCAGAAGUUUGGGGGUUGAUUUUGGGUUUUUUUUCAGCACUGUCUGGAGCUUUCACAUCACAGUGAGUGAGUACAUCUGCAGCAGAUACUUUUUCACACCUGCUGUCACCUUUGUCUCUGCCUAACUUACUGCACAGACAUCCUAAAUUUUUCUACCUAUCCUAAAAUUUUUGAUAUAGCUAAUCAACUUCCUUACAAGGAAUUUUUCUUUUAGGAUUCAUCUCCAAGAAACUAAUUUUAAGACCAUCUGCUGUCAAAAAUUUAUUUGGUGAGAUGGAGUCUCUAAAGGUGGGAAGCUUCACCUACCACUGAGGACACUGAGGAAGCUGGUGUGAUCCUGAGCCAUGGAGCCUUGCAGAGAGACGAGCAGUGAGAUGCUGGAGGCCACACUGAAGCCCAAUGGAAAAGGAAAUUUGGAGGUUUGGGAAUAGUGUUUAUACCUGAACAGAAGGAUUUAACGUUUCCAUUGGGUGAAAUUCCUUGGAAAUGCUUUGUUUGAAAGCAUUCAAAGGUAUUUGAGGGCCUCAUCACAGACGUAAGGAAUAUUUGACCUUUUGGCAAUCUCUGGUGAAGAUGGCCUUGUCAAAGUUUAUACCUCAUGGAACAUCAGUUUCUUCAGCUGGAAUGUUUUGAACCCAUUGGAACACUUUGGUGCUCCAGUGUGUGUCGGUGUCAGCAAGAAAGCAAAACAGGCAUUGAAACAUGUUUUUGGUGAGAUGUGUUGCCCACUUCAGUUUGCUUAUGGCCAUUGACAUCUCUCUUCUUCUGCACAUCUGGAUUUAAGAACAACCUUAAUAAGAAAAGUGGAAUUGAUUUGGAAUUUGAAACACCAGUCUUCCUAUGCAUGUUCAUCAGGUAUAACCAAUGGAAAUAGAAAUGUAAAGCAGACAUUUUUGCCAACUCAAAUUCUAAAGUAGGUCGGAGUCCUGUAGGGCAUACAUAUUUUAGUCUCCCUCAACCUCUCCUUCCACCCCUCCUUGAACCUUUUAGAACCAACUUAGCUAUGGCAAAAUCUUGUUAAGAAACAAAUAAUAGGAAAAACUUCAGCUAGAUAUUAAAUCAGUGAUAUUUUACAAAAAGGAGCCCUUUUUUUCCAUUCAGUGCUGUUGGAAUUGCUGCUUUUACAACAUCUGUAUAGACACAGGGCUUCCAGAUCUGCUUAAGUAAACACUUUGCUUUUUUUAUUUCCACUAUACAUGUAAGGGGAUAAGUAGGUUACUAUUUGUGAGAUUCAUGAAAAGCUUGAGUUUAGAAGGCUCUUUUGUAUUAGAUGUCUUAAUCCAAUUUUCUUUAUUGGAUUGGUAAAUGAAAAUAAAUUCCCUUGAGCUCAAAUAAUAAAGGACUAAAAUAAACCUGGUGCACACACAACUCAAACUAAUAAUAAAGAACAAGCAGCAUCAGUUUUAAAAACUGAUUUGUCCUGAGCAGUGUUUCCAGGGGCCUGGAGUUCUGUCUGCUACACAGCUGCUGCCAGAGAGAUCUGAACUUGAAGAUGCUGUGUGGAAAUUUCCAAUCUCUUCAGUUUUACUUUAUUUUUGCUUGUUUGAGAUGUUCUCUCCCUUGCUGAAUUUUGAUUCCCCUGAGAUGUUCUUGAGAUGUGGAUCUACCUCAUUCCUGGAAUGUGGCAAUAUCUUAAUAUGUCUUUCAAAACAUUCUAGUUAUAUGUGGUGGUGGGUUUUGUUUUUUUUUUUUCUUUACAAAUUAGUUUUUUUCUUCUGGGACUUUAAGUUUCCUUGUUUUAAAUAGAGCUUUUUAUUCACUGCUAUAUCUUUUGGUAGAAAUGAUUGAUGUUAAUUUAAUGUCUCUAUUUAGGCAAUUAUCAGAAGUUUUAAACAUUUAUAACAAAUGUUGGUAGAAACUCCUACAUUCUUAAUCUGAAAUGGAAGACGAAAAUUUUGGCAAAUCUGAAGACCCUUACCUGAAAUGCAGCUGAAAAUUACAGUACAAAUGUUUUCCUUUUCUUCAAACUCUGGGGAUUGAAUGCAUCCACAUAUCGUUAGCCAAAAAAACCCAACCAACCAACCAACCAACCAACCAACCAACCAAAAAACCAAAGCACAUUUUUCAUUUCAUUCCAACAAUGUACUAUAAUCAUGGAUCUGACCCAAAGUCUUUGCCUGGUCCCAUCAGUCUCAAAGAUACUUGGACCUGCAAAUGGGUUUAAUCGUUUCAUUGAGUCAAGGUCCCCAUGAAUAUAUAACUGGUGUUCACCUUACUGUGAGUAAAAUGUUCACAUUCUGUGAGAUGCUGAAUUCAUUUUGAGAUCUGUGAUUAAUUUGUAUCAAAGUUUUGUUAUUGCUAAUGCUUCCCAGUGCCAGGUGCGAGUUAUGGCUGAAAUUCUUUUAGAGUAUUUGGCAGGACUGUGUGAAGUAAUUAUAAAUCAUAUUGUAAUAUUGAGCCUCAAGAGAAGAAAAAUCUCAAGAAUUCUUAAAUACAAACCAAAUCUCCAAAUUUUUAAAAUGUCAAUAUUAAAAUGUUCUGAAACAGAAUCAAACCAGCUGUUUUAGUGGAACUUUUUGCCCAUGAAGAGCUUUGCUUUCUAUUGGCAGGUUUUGUUAUUUCUAUGUUAUAGCCAUUAUUAUUACCUAUAAAAAUUCAAAGAGUUUGUUUCCUUUUAUUUCCUUGUCUUCUUAAAGAAGUAAAUGCUGGUAAAAAGAAGCAGGGAAGGAGGAGAGGAGAUUUAAUUCCCUGCUCUUAAUAGUAUUGCAAGUGAAGCAUAUGUAAAUUCCUCAAAGAAACUUGUGUCAUGUUUAAAACAUAUGGAAGGACAUAUCCAUCAAGGUGAAGAGGAGACAGGUAAUUGUCCAGGUAAACAACUGUUUACCUAGAAGGGCCUAGAACAGCAGUUUAUAUAUUGCUGGGAGAAGAAGAGGUCUCACCUUCUUCUUCUUGGCAGAAUUGUCCCUGAAGCACCUUUGGUUGCUAUAAUUAUGCUUUGGGGAAAAACUUCUCUUGGUUGUAUUGUCAGUUAAUGCUUUCCCCAUGUUUCAUGCCAUGUUUGGCGUGAGCAUAAUCCAAGGAUGGAUCAGUACUGGCUGCCUGGGCUAUUGGAUGGAGGAGCACACUAAUCCUGGCAGAUCACUUUCCUUACAGCUAUGUCACACACAGGUAUUGCUGACUUCAGCCAGGUAGCAUGACCAUCUGGAAUAGACUGUAAGCACAGGUUAAGCUCUCACUUGAUUUUAAAAAUAAAUAUACUUGUUUCAAAUUACUGUAGUCCAAAAUAUUUAGCUCUUGCAACAUUUAGUCUUUAGAAAAACAUGUUGUAGCAAGUGGCCAGACCUUUCAAUACUAGAAAGUCUCAUUUGACCUUAAAACAGGUGUUGGUGAUGGGUUAUAGGCAUGUCUGCAGGGGAAUUAUCAUGGUGUCCAGGUUUUUGUUUCCUUUCUGCUACCUGAAGUGUGAUGGGUCAUUAGUGCGGUGGUUUGGGGUGCAGAAGACCAGAUGCAGGGAGUGCUGCUUCUCCUGUGCAUGUCUGUGUGCUAGCACAGAGGCUUCAGAAGCAAACAAAGCAACUUUCUGUUUGUAGUCUUUUAUUUUUCUCCCUGUGCCUGUGCAGCAGGGUCUGUCACUUGCAGCCAGCAGGUGCAAAUGUGCACAUCAGCUGUUCUCUUUUAGCAGGGGUGGUUUCAUUGUUCAGUCUGAGUCACUCUCAAACUGCACAACUUUCUUUCAUUUUGAUGAUAAGAAUAUUUUCCCUACAUUCAGACAACCAUAUUCAGUGAUCCAGUAACAAAAGUUAACUCUCUUAUGCAAAUCCUAAGCUAUGACUGGUCUAAAGUCCUCCUUUUUUCAAGCAAGAGAAAUUGUUCAAGGCUAAACUCUGUUCCUGUUGCCACAGUUCUCAUAAUCCUCCUGUGCAGGCAAACUAACUCUUGGUUUCAAAGUAUGUCUGAGUCAGGCAUUCCUGUUUGCUGGUGAUCUAGAAGUGUGUUCUCUGGUAUUUGGCAGCUAGAAAAGUGAGAAAUCAUACUGUUGAGUGUGGCACUGGAGACAAAUUGGUCACCUUUCCUUAUUCUUCCAAAAAGGCAGAACUGUUCACACCUCUUACAGAUAACAGUGUUUAUGUGUCUGUUUUCUCUCCUUCCACCUUCCUGAAGACAUCCACCUCCUGUCCUAGAGGAGUUGUUGCAAUCCAGGCAUGUCCUUUCCUCUUUGGAAUGAGAUUCUCCUCUCCAGCUGAGCUUCUAUCCAGGUUUUGCAGAAUAAAUUCAGGUGGAAACUAGAAAAAAGCAGAAUAGCCUCCAACAGGCCUGUGCAGCCCUAACAGAUACAUCUCUUGCAAAGCAGGACAGGAUGUGUGGUUUGUGUAUAGGCUGCUCCUCACACAAGCAGGAAAAGCUUUGCUCAAGGGAGUGGCAGAUUUGCACUUACAAAUGAAUUGCCUCUCCUCUGCUAGGGCAUGCUUUCCUAUUUCACUGUGUACUGUGAAUCUGAGUGGAAAUAUUCCCUUGUUUUGGAUGGAAGAGCAUUCAUGUUUUCAUACUUUGGUAUACACUGGUUGAAGCUGGAAGGAAGAUUAUGGGUCUAGGAGGAGUGAUUGCAUUUAUUAUGCCAAAGGAGUAGAUGUUCAGUCCUACACAAACCCACAUUUGUAUAGAGUGGUUGUUUCCCAAGCAUGCGCUAAUGAAUUUAAACCUUCUUUUUGUAAGCACAUGAUAAGAAUGCACAAUAUCUUAUUCAGGAUAUAAUGCAGAAUAAUAAAAGAUCAUCACUGUGAGCAUCAAUUUCAUUUUACUUCCAGACUUCAACUUCAGACCCCUUUAAAACCUCUCUGCAGCCAGACUCUUAGCUUGUCAGCACUGGCACAGCUGCACAGGUCUGACCUCUUUGCUUAAGAAGGACUGCAGGAUUUUAUCGCCUCAGGUACUCUUGAAACAUAUUCCACAUCCAAGAACAUCCAAAAUUCUGAAAACACUUUGAAUUCCCCCAUCCUAAUCCAAGCCAUAGUCUCCUGAUGCCUUUGCUUAAUUGUGUAUUUGUUUGCUUUUAAGGACCUCUAUGAAACAAGUGCUAUGAAACAGCUAUUUUUGUUAUUUAUCAUUGACAAAUUUUAAAAAAAUAAAGUAAUUGAAGAGAAUUAUUUUCCUCAUAUACUCUAUAUCAGUAUUUUGCUCUCAAAAAAACCCUCACUAAACCUUUUGAAAAACACUUUUGCAGAUCUUUCCAUGUGAGGCCACUAUCUCUUGCAUUUGGAGAGUGGUCUGCAAACAAGAAUGGAGCUUUAGAGUGGGUUGUCUUCAGCAGUCUGUAUGUGCCUUUCCUGCCAAAUACAGGUAUUGUUCAUGGUGCCUGUCAGAUCAUCAGUUCCAAUCCCAGACCUGCCUAUCCUGCUUCCCAGAGUGUUAGCAAUGUGGUUGGAAGAGUUAAAACCAUCCCUCAGAAGCUUGUCCUCUUAGUCUUGAGGACACCAGCGGCAUCUGGGCCUCAGUGCCACAGUGGACAAUGUCCUAAAAUCACUGGUCUUGCCCCUGCAAGGAUGGAUGAAUGUGGAGGUUUGUAGCUGCUAUGUCCAUAGAGUGCCCACUCCGACGAGAAACUGAAUCUUAUAGAGAGCGCAGUGUCUUGUGGAAAUUCUUUGAUUUUCCCUGCCUAAAAAGUUAAUAUUAAAUGAUGGGGGUUUUUUUAAUCUCAUUCUUUUAGCUAGUAAAUUAUAUUGUUUAAAGAAGUAUGUUAUAUGUAUCUAAAUCCAUUGAAUUAUUUUUUAGACUCUGGGUGUCAGCCACUUUCAAUAGUCUAUAGAUUAAUUAAUACUCAGAGUAAUUAAACUUAUCAGACCAGGUCCUUUUCAAUGCCCUACAUCAGAAUUCCUAGUGACUGCUAACCCUAGUUCUCCAAUCUCAUAUCAUUUCCUCAGGCAUCUCUUUAUCAGGAUUAAAGAGAAAAAACAGCAUCAUCAUACUCUGUGUAUGUUCUACUUAUCCAGUUAUUUAUUUAUUUAUUCAUAUUAUUAUGUGAUGAAUCUGGACAAACAUGGGUUGUUUGUGACAACUUGAGGAACAUGUCUCAGAGAGAUCAGGAACAAGUUGUAACUGGGAGUCCUGAGCUGAACCUUACUGGAGUGAGAAUAUUACUGGUGCCUCCACAGGACCCAGCUGUCACCAGCAUUGCCCAACUAACUGGGCUGGCUGGUGCAGACAGGAAUCAUUUCAUACACAGCAUGUCACAGUGCUUGUGCAGAGCCAGAGCUGAGCUGAGAUCUCUGAACCCUUGCAGAGCCUGAGGGUACUUUUUGGCAGAGGCUUGAUAAAAUCAUGUGCCAAGUCUGCUGGAAGUCAGAAAAUUUUCCAUCUUGGCUCAAAUCCUGCCAGUGCAUUGUGCUUCCUAUACAUAGAACUACUGGGUUCCAUGGAUUUGUUGUAAGACAUUGAAUGCCAAAUACAAUUGUCUGCUUUGUGUGAGCAUCAAAAAGCCUGGAGCUGCUCCUGACCCUCAGCGGGGUGGUGGUUGCUGUGGAGGGCAUUUCAGCAUCUUUCUACGUGACUCUGACAAGUCCAGAUGGAGAGCGGUCUGAGACACCAACAGCUGUGCCACAAGAACUAGCAAUUUUUGACACAGCAGCAUGUAUGUUUCAGUUAGAGAUACAGCUUGCACUCUGUAGAUGCUGUUCCAGCUCUGCAGAGCACCAGAAGAACCCCUACAGACAAAAAUUAAUGUGAUCCAGACACUUUCACUUCAGUUUUCUUAUAAAAACAUAGUUUUGCUCAUAGAAGAAGCUUCUGAGAAAAGAAUGUAUAUAUAAAUUUUUGUUGCAAUUUAAUGUUUUAAUCACAUGAAUGUAAUUCCUUUCUGGCAUAUCUAUUCGUAUGUAUUAAAUAUUUUUAUUGAACAAUGUAAGAAAACUAUUAUUUUGCAUAUUAAAAAUGCAAGGGGUAAUAUAAAAUCCAUUUCAAAUUCUGAAAUGUGAAAGCUAAGUUACAUACCCUUGUUUCUGUUGUUUUGUUGGCUUUUUUUUUUAAUUAGAGACAGAAAGGUUGAAUGAUCUUCCUUAGCUUCCAUGACAUCUGCUAUAACAAUACAGACCUCAUGCUGAGUGACCUCAUGUCGAGCUUUGGG